rnacentral:tRNA from 1 species
GGUAUAGCUCUGUAAUAGGGCAUGUGUUUUACAUACACAAGGACCUGGGUCCAAUCUCCAGUACC